UACGGGGGGUGCAAGCGUUACUCGGAAUCACUGGGCGUAAAGAGCAUGUAGGCGGAUUAAUAAGUUUGAAGUGAAAUCCUAUAGCUUAACUAUAGAACUGCUUUGAAAACUGUUAAUCUAGAAUGUGGGAGAGGUAGAUGGAAUUUCUGGUGUAGGGGUAAAAUCCGUAGAGAUCAGGAGGAAUACCGAUUGCGAAGGCGAUCUACUGGAACAUUAUUGACGCUGAGAUGCGAAAGCGUGGGGAGCAAACAGG
rnacentral:sRNA from 1 species